AGUUAUACAAGCAGAGUGGUUACAAAUGGAUUGAAAGCCCAAAUGAAUAAUCCAGAGCUGAUAGUCAGAGGGUUGGAUCCACAGAUAGGUCAUUUAAUUGACAAGUUGAAACAUUUUAAUCAGCUGGCAGCCCAUACAACAAGUGUACAGUCUGAAAGUUGGAUUGACAGGGAAGGCAGCAGUGGGAAUGGAAUGAGUAAAGAGACAGAAUCAAGUGGAGACUGUGAUGAUGAAGAUGGAUGCCAAGGAUCAGGUGAUAAAAGCUACACAAAAGAUAUUUUUAGUGUGAAAACAAACAGAAAUGAAACCAUACAAAUAAUGGAAAAGAUGGACACCACAACCACAACAACAAUAAACAUAUUUUCCAUUUAUGAAGGGGACAGAAAUUUGGGUACUCAAGCAUCAAGUUUUUGGUUCCUUAAAAUUACCAGCCUUGCAGUUUUGUGGCAUUUUGUGUCAUAGCUGUAUUAAACUGCAGUAACUGUGCAAUUUUUGUGCAUCAUCAUAUAUACCUUCAGCCUUAUCUAAGUGAAAGCAAAGUUAAAUUGGCCUCUAAAUUCUAUGCUCUGAUAUUAUGUGAUAUGUUAGUUUAAGUGCUAAGUAUUAGCCUGGGACUGGCUACUAGCAAGCAUCAAUUUCUACGUUGUCUGUUUUUUUUGUUUGUUUGUUUGUUUGUAACAUCUCAACUAUUCAACAUGGAAAAAGGAUGAAGACAGAAGACUUAAGUAGGUUAAGUUAUUGUGAUAGGUACAGCUAAGAAAGUUAUAAAGUUAUACAUUAAUAUGUUGUUAUUUUUCUCUUUUACUUGUCAAAUAUUGGACUGUUGUUUUCUUAAUCUUUUAUGUUCCUUUAAAUAACUGCAUUUCAUUUACAUGCCCAUAAGUUAUAUCUAUAGGGAUCCAUGAAUAUUAUAAACAAAGUUGCUGGUUCGAUCAAAUUCUGGUCAAGGAAUCAUAGCAUGCUUGAAUUUCUUUAUUUCUUAUAAUUAGAUUGCAGAAAGCAUAUGGUAUCUUUAAUGUAUCAUUAACUAGUAGUUCUUUUAACAAUUCAGCAAUAAAUAUAAUUACUUCCCAGUUUAUUUUAAAACACUACAGAAUAGUUUCCCUGCUCAUGUAUUUCUUUACUAUAUGCAUACAAUUUUGUAAUGUUGCAAAUACCUGAUGAAUUUAAAAAGGAGGAGAAUCUUUGAUGGCCAUGGCAAAAAUUGUUAUUAACUUGAUGUUGUAGAACUAGAAUGAGAAACCAGUAUCUGUGCUAUAAUCUUCUAUACUGUAAUACCCUAGCCAGCAUGGUUAGCAAUAAAGGAUGCUGAGAACUGCUGUUCAGAAACAUCUGUAUGGCCAAAAUUCUUUAUCUCAUCUAUUGCCUAUAUUGUAUUAAAAGAAAAGCUCUGAUGCAGGUGUCUCAUCAGGUACAUCUGGAUGGGCAAUCAGUGGUAUCAUGCAGCUGUCAUAACUUGAUGCAGUUAUUUGACUUUCUUCCUCAGUAAAUAACAAAGUUCAGUGGCAUAAUUUGUCAUCAAAAUUUUGUGGAACCAUUUAAUUGUCUUUUGGAAUAUUUAGCAUAAAGUUAUCCAUUGAAAAAUUAUUUACUGCAGGUCAUUAAAGUUAAGGUUUAAAAUAGAUUUCUUUCUAUCUCAACUGCAUUUUAUAACUGCCCAUUGCUUUACCAUCCAAAUAUUUCCUCAACUUGAAAAGGAUUGUUCAACUCCAUGUUAGAGCAUAUGAAGUAAAUAAAACAGCUUUCUGGAAGAUAUCAGUUUAGAUCGCUGGAAAUCGUCCAAGCUUCCCUGCCAUUGGAUGUUUGGACGAAAAAGAAAAGAUAGUCAGAAAGAGAAAAGAAUGUGAAAGAUGGGAGGGAAGAUAGAAAAACAGAUAUGCCAUAAAAGGGAAUCCUUACUUGUAUGAGGGUUCUGGCUCCACCCAAUACCCUUUGAUACCACUUUAAAGGAGAAAUGAAAGAAAAGAAAAUGGAAUUAAUCCAUUUCUUAAUACCCGUCACCAAUAGAUGAUUGGGCUUACUAGGGUUUAUAUGCCAGCAACCCAUUGUUUUAUGGAUGUUUGCAAGAAUUCGCUUAUACAUUUUUGCAUAUACUGUAUAGAAUGUGAUCCAGAAGAUGGAGACAUGUUUUCUUUGCUGCUACUACUACAGUCGUUUCCAUCAAUCUACCAAGAAAAAUGUUACCUCUUUUAUCCUAAAAAAUUAAUUUUAAAAAAUCUGAAAUGUAGCAUCUGUUUAUGAUGUUUAUGAUAUGCUAUGAGAUAAAAAUAUGAAAAAAAUGUCAACUUAUAAUGAUACUUUCUGCUAUUUACUAUUUACUCUCUAAUACUUAUUUUGAAGAGUAUUUUCCAUGUUUUUUGUAAAUGGGCCUUUUUACACUUUCAAGAAAAUUAAUGUGUUUCAUAGUAUGGUAAGAAGUUACAAUCCUACUAUUAAUUAUAUGCAAGAAGUCUAAUAUGAGUAUUUUUACCGCAAUCCUUAAAAUCCCAUUGAAAAUCUACAUACUACCACCUCAGCAGAAUUAACCAUUACAAAAAAUGACUCCAAUUUGUAUUUACUGAAAAUGCCAAUAAUUCAUAUCUCUAAAACCUGUUUUCAUGGUAAAAAUAAUUUCUAUGUAGUUUUCAAUGGUAUAAUGGUAUAACAUAGAAUAUUUGUGAUAUGCAUGGAUACAAAAAUUAGGAUAAAAAUAUAAGGUGCAACAGGAUGAAUAACCCUUUUUGCUGUUGGAGUUCUAAUGUGCACAUCCUUUUUUGUAUAAUGUUAUGUAGCAGGAUAGAGCACUGCUUUUAAUGACUGAUGGGCUAUUUUCAGAAGACUUUGCUCUCUUAUUUUAAAAUUAAAUUACAAUCCACCCAAACCAAAUACUUCAUCCCAUUGAAUAUAGCAAAACUUUUCAUCAUAUAAAAUCUGUUCCAUGCAAACAAAAUUUAAGAAUGCUCAUCUGCUGAUCAAAUUGUACGGUAAAGUUUUAAUUCUCAUAGAGAUGAAUGACAGAUAGGAGACAAUACAUGCCAGAGUCUUCAAAGUCAGAAGACUUUAUUAUAGAUAGUUUUUUAAAAAACUUUUCCCAUAGUCCUCAAGCCAUUCUGUCUGAAAAAAAGUAAUUUUAUCUUCAUACAUGGAGUAAUAAUAUCUUGAUGACAGAAAAUGAAUGGAAACUGAUGAGAGCAAGAUGCUUUCUUACAAUUAACGCACUGUAGCCUUGCAAUACCCCCCAAAAAAUCAAUCUCACUCAACAAAUAGCAACAAUCCUUUCUAUUAGGCACAUAACAGAUUCCAGACAGAAAAUUUCCUUUGUAAGUAUUAAACAAAUGCACAGAAUAUUAAAUUCUCUUUCUUGAAAGUAUCCCAAAUAUUUCAAACUCGUAUUGAAAAAUCACUCAUAAUCAUUUGACAAUAUGCAGCCUAAAUUAAGCACCAUUCUUUUGUGACUAUGUAAAAAAAACCCACUAAAAUUCAUAUAUUACAGGAUUGUGUCAGCUGUUGUGCUGACUGGGCAUAACUAGGUGCUUCCUAUUUUCUUCUAAAAGCAAAUUCACAGGAAUUUUCCUGUUUAAAAAACUACACGAAAAGUACAUGUUGAUUGGAUGUCAUAAUAUCCAAUCAACAUUAGCUGGCAAUUUCAUGAAGUAUUCCAAAAUACCAUUGAAAAGCUACUAUAUUAUUUUACACAGGCGAUGCAUUACAUUUAUAUGACAAUGUUAAUGUAGUUUGCAUUUUAUCAUUACCUUUCACCUUUCUGUCUCUUCCCAUUAAAUCAGUAAGAUUCAGUUUUACUAUUUGUACUUCACAAAACACUGGCAUGAUAAAAAAUAUAUUGUAUAGUAUAAGCAAUUAACAUUUGCUCACUUUAUCUAUUACAACAGGCUAUAUAAUUUGUCCAUUGUGCCCUUUCUGUGCACCUAAUUAGAAUCAGUGUGAAACUCCAUUCAGGUGAUAAAUAUUUAAUUGGAGGGCCCAGGAAGCAAAGAAGGAACAUGUUCUGUAUUUUAUACAAUUUUUGCAGUCAGAUACUUUUAAUAUGCUUUGCACCCAAAAUGAUAUUUUAAAUAUCUAUGUUAAAUGUUCUUGUGGUGGUCUACAAUAAUUACAAUAUAUCUUGUUUACGUUACAGGUUUUUAAAGCCCUGUUUGAAGAGCAGAACAAGUGGUGGAUUCUGUUCUCUAAAUGUUUGUCACAUCAAACAUUUUCUAUAGGCCACAUUGCUUUAAAAUUCUUUUAAGUGAGAUAAGAGUUUAGCAGUGCUGCCUCAGAAAUUGUACAAAACUUGGAGUAAAUGAACUAUAAACAAGUCAAUAAAACAUUAACAAUAUCAAAGAGUGGUGGAAUUGGACAAAUAUUUAGAGCCAGAAUACCUGUCCAUGCUAUGAUCCUUCCAAAAUUUAAUCUUAAAUUCUUACCAGGAGUGCCAAACAUUGACUAUCAAUUAUUGUAUAUAAUAUGCAUUUGUAUGUAUAUGCAAUUAGGGUAUGGAAUAUCUACUUGCUCCUGAUGUUUUAUAGAUAAAAAUGUUUUCUGUGUGAAGUUCUAAACUUUAAGUCUAACUACUUUGUCAUGAAAAUAGAAAAUAGAAAAACAUCUAUUAGAAAUAUGACUCCAUAAAAGGUUUGGCCCAUGUCUUCUGCUGGAUCUAAACCUAGUCCAAUAUUUCUAUCAAAGGUUUCUAAACAUUUCCGAUACAAGCCAAGAAGCAUCUCUGCUUCCUUAAGUUUAUCAAACUUUCUUGGGUUUUAUUAGCUGUUUUCUAACAUACAUCAUUAUAUUUAAGAGGGGCAUACCACAGAAUGCAUUCUUGUAUCAUGGUAGCCUGGACAAGGAGAUAGUAAUCUCUUAGAGUUGAACGUGUAGACUCAUUUGCAGUAUGCUAGUAUGAGAGAGUAAUGGCUGUAGAGAAGAUAUGUAGCAACUUUGUUCUUUGAAAUUCAGAAAUCCAAAUCCAAAAUCUAAAAUUACUUCAAAACAAGAGUCUUUAAGGCAUAGCCAUUUCUGUGUUCCUAUCCAAUUCAUGACCUAUAACUAUUGUGAUAGUAUAAAUACAGGAAGAAAAACUGUCUCAGUGACUCUGUUGAUUGAAAAGAGUUUGUGCUGAUGUAUACAUUACUUUGCUUACAAAAUUAUUGUGUUUCUUAUUAUUACUAACACCUUUAAUAACUAUGAUAUAAGUUAUUUUUCAGGUUAAAGUCUCAACAAAUAGAAAUUAAAUGUUUAUAUAUCUUCAUUCUCACUAGAUCAUUUUUCUCCUUGCUUUUCAUAUAUAUACAAUGAGCCAGAAACCUUAAAUUAUGUUGCCUUUAAAUCUUUAUUUAAUCUAUUUUAUUGUGCACUCCCUGAAGUAUAAAAUUUUGUGCAUUGUAGUGGAUAAAAAUCACAGCAAUUGCGUAAUUAUGUCACAAUGCCCUCAUCAUCCCCCUCCAUGGAAACAGUCAUCUUCUUCUUCCUUCUCCUCAUCUUCUCUUCUUCCAUCUGUUGAUUCAAAGAGCUCAGAAAAAUUUUAGGAUGAUUCCAGAGCCAAGCAGUCAUAGUGAAUGCUUGAUUUGGGCUGAACAAUUCAACUAUAUGUAACUCUGGCAGAGGAAAGAUAGGCUGAAGCUGUACAAGUCGAAUAGUAUACUAAACAUACAUGGGAACAACAGAAUUGAUGCCUUUAGGAUGCUUUACAAUGGGAUUGAUGUUAUUCUGCAAAACUCUGCCUUGAGUACAGGAGUAUAUUAAAUUAAUAGAGUACCACAUAUUGAUUGUAUGGCUCUCAUUUACUUAAAGUGCUGUCAUGUGUGUCAAAUCCAACUAAAAAGGCUUGUAUUUUCCAGAAAGCCAUUUUCAACCCUAAUCAACUAAAUGAUUUGGUCUCUUUUUAUUUAACUCCUGUGACACCUGGGUAGAAAUAUAGUCACAUUUUGUGUCUGUGCCCAAGUAAAAUGUUUGCUGUUUCACACCCUCACCAGUGCUGGAAUCUUUGCUUUUGAUAUAAUCCCCUGAAUAUAGACACUGCUUAUUAUUACAUGCUUUUGCUGUCAAUAUUUGCAAAAAGCUCAUGUAAACUUCGUCAGUUUAUAUACUGUAUCAUUGUGUUGAUUUUAAUUAUGCCACAUUUUGAUUUGAAUUUCUGCUUCCUAAACUCCAUCUCUUACUUUAAAAUAGCAUUUUGCACAGAGAGAGAGGUCCACAAAGACUCACUCAUAACCAUUUGUUUUUUUUUAUUAUCAACACUUGAAAGUGGAGACAUAAAGUCAGCCAGGCAGAAAAAGACUGGUGACAUUGAGAAAUGUGCAAUAGAAGUCUGCAGAAUUAGAAAAGGGAAGAUUGCCGUAAUCUGUGAUACAGAUAUGUCUAUGAAUCAUUGCAAGGAAAAUGAUUUUGAAUCGCCAUCUUGAAUUAUCAAUUAAUAUGCUAGAAAAAUGCUAUAUUACUGAUCAAGAGGACUUUAUGAAGAAAACUUUACAUCAGUAGUUCAUGUCAGUGGCCUGCUAUUUUGUUACCAAAAUAGCAAAACAUUUUUCUGCAUUCAGUUAUCCUGAACCUCUUCAUAGGCCUUGAUUGGACUAAGAGUCCUUAACUGUAUUAGCACUGCAGCUAGGCUUCAGGCAUAUCCCUGGUUUUCUUUCUUUUGUUUAAUAACUUUUCACAGACAUUUAUUUGGGCCUGUAAAUAUUGUUGAUGCUAUCUAUUACUGAUAUUUUAUAUACUAAAACUUUGCCAUCAACCAUAUUCAAGUACUGACAUGUUCUGAACAUGAUGUUUAUUUGUUGUGUUUUGCAUAUGGAAUCUAAGUUUUAAAAUAAUCAAAAAACAUUGUCAUAGCUGUACUGAAGAAAUACAUUCUGAAGAACUAUAAUAGGGUGAUGAUUUGUAAGUACAAUAAUUUCUGUAAUAAAUAAUAAACAAUAAUAAAACAUUACCAUUGCUGGUUUUAUAAGAUUAUUAGCUCGUGAAAC